AUUGAACGCUGGCGGCAGGCUUAACACAUGCAAGUCGAACGAGUGGCGGACGGGUGAGUAAUGUCUGGGAAACUGCCCGAUGGAGGGGGAUAACUACUGGAAAUGGUAGCUAAUACCGCAUACCAUCGGAUGUGCCCAGAUGGGAUUAGCUAGUUGGUGGGGUAACGGCUCACCUAGCCGACGAUCCCUAGCUGGUCUGAGAGGAUGACCAGCCACACUGGAACUGAGACACGGCCCAGACUCCUACGGGAGGCAGCAGUGGGGAAUAUUGCGCAAUGGGCGCAAGCCUGACGCAGCCAUGCCGCGUGUAUGAAGAAGGCCUUCGGGUUGUAAAGUACUUUCAGCGGGGAGGCGUUACUCGCAGAAGAAGCACCGGCUAACUCCGUGCCAGCAGCCGCGGUAAUUC
rnacentral:rRNA from 1 species